rnacentral:rRNA from 1 species
ACUCCUACGGGAGGCAGCAGUAGGGAAUUUUCCGCAAUGGACGAAAGUCUGACGGAGCAAUGCCGCGUGAGUGAUGAAGGUUUUCGAAUCGUAAAGCUCUGUUGUAAGGAAGAAUAGCAAGAAUAGGAAAUGAUUCUUGUCUGACGGUACCUUACCAGAAAGCCACGGCUAACUACGUGCCAGCAGCCGCGGUAAUACGUAGGUGGCAAGCGUUAUCCGGAAUUAUUGGGCGUAAAGCGCAUGUAGGCGGCUUUUUAAGUCUGAUGUGAAAGCCAGUGGCUCAACCACUGAAUUGCAUUGGAUACUGGAAAGCUAGAAUCUUGGAGAGGUAAGUGGAAUUUCAUGUGUAAGCGGUGGAAUGCGUAGAUAUAUGAAGGAACACCAAUGGCGAAGGCACUUACUGGACAAGUAUUGACGCUGAGAU